UGCGCCUGCGGCGGACCCGGCACGGAUCUUUACCACGCUUCGCAGGCAGCUUAUCCGUGUACGGCCCGGUACAUCCCGGAACUUUCCGGGCUUUAAUGUCUUCU
rnacentral:sRNA from 1 species